rnacentral:rRNA from 1 species
GAUGAACGCUGGCGGCGUGCCUAAUACAUGCAAGUCGAGCGAACAGACGAGGAGCUUGCUCCUCUGACGUUAGCGGCGGACGGGUGAGUAACACGUGGAUAACCUACCUAUAAGACUGGGAUAACUUCGGGAAACCGGAGCUAAUACCGGAUAAUAUAUUGAACCGCAUGGUUCAAUAGUGAAAGACGGUUUUGCUGUCACUUAUAGAUGGAUCCGCGCCGCAUUAGCUAGUUGUUACGGUAACGGCUUACCAAGGCCACGAUGCGUAGCCGACCUGAGGGGGGGGUAGGCCACACUGGAACGGAGACACGGUCCAGACUACUGCGGGAGGGAGCAGUAGGGAACCUGCCGCAAUGGGCGAAAGCUUGACGGAGCAACGCCGAGUGAGUGAUGGAGGUCUUCGGAGCGGAAAACUCUGUUACUGGGGAAGAACAAAUGUGGAAGUAACCAUGGACGUAUUGACGGUAACUAAUAAGAAAGCAACGGCUAACUACGUG